AUGGCGCUGCCGAGUUCGGUCACCAUCCAGAUCGCUCCACAUAGAUUGUGUUUUUAUUUACUUUUUUACCUACUUUUGCUUUCUCUUUUUACACACAUAACCUCUGCACUGAUCACCUACGACAAAGGAACACUUUUGGACAUUGGAUACCGCUUCACUAACCUGUUUCAGGACACUUUAUCCUCCAACCCAUCGUGGCCAUCUGAGAUUCUCCGGAACACCAAGAUGAACAAUGGCCACCUGAAUAACCACCCGAGGCUACGGAUCAAGAAACACCGCGGGAAACGCGCUGCGGUCCGCAACAGACUGAGAAAAAGAGCUCACAGUCCUCCUCUGCCGAGCAUUCUGCUCGCCAAUGUCCAGUCUCUGGAGAAUAAGAUGGACGAUCUUAGAGCCAGGAUAAGUUUCCAACAUGACAUUAGGGACUGUAACAUCCUUUGUUUGUCUGAAACAUGGCUCACAACCUCGGUCCCGGACGCUGCUGUAACGCCGUCUGAAAACUUCUCUGUUUUACGGAUGGACAGGACAGGAGUGUAUUUCAUGAUUAACAAGAAAUGGUAUGACCCCAGGAAUAUCUCCACUCUGUCGCGCUCCUGCUCGUCUCAUCUGGAACAUUUAUCUAUUAUUUGCCGCCCAUUCUAUCUGCCCCGGGAGUUUUCAUCGAUCAUCAUCACUGCUGUUUACAUCCCACUACAAGCAGACACCGGCUUGGCUUUGUCCGAGCUUCACGAUGUGCUCACACUGGAAUAUAAACAAAGGCUCGUUGAAGUUCCCCUGGUGCAGAGGGUGGUGACGUGCUGGUCCGCCCACUCAGAAGCCAUGCUACAGGCGGCUCUUGAUGACGUAGACUGGGACAUGUUUCGGGCAAGUUCAUCUGACGUCAGCGAGUUCACGGAUGUAGCAUUAAGCUUUGUAAACACGCUAGCCGAACAAGCUACGGAUACAAUAUCUAUAAGGACCUUCUCUAAUCAGAAACCUUGGGUGGACAGUACAAUCCGUGCAGCAGUAAACAAACGCACUGCUGCUUACAACGGCGGUCUUUUGUUGGGAAACAUGAGUGAGUACAAAGCAUCGUGCUAUGCUCUCCGACGCGCAGUAAGAGCUGCCAAACUCCGAUACAGGGAACGAAUAGAGUCACAUUUCCAGCUCAAUGACUCCCGACGCAUGUGGCAAGGACUAAGAACCAUCUGUGCCUUUGGAAAUAAAUCCUCUGCAGAGGUGAGAGCAGAUCCGUCGCUGGCUGACGAGCUAAACACUUUCUACGGCCGCUUUGAAAGCAAUCUGAGCAGCGCGAGACUGACGAUCAGUGCGUCAGAAAGUGGCAGUCAGAGCAGAGAUAAUCAUGUGAUCACCGUGUCAGAGGACGAGGUUCGGAGGGCUCUAAAACGAGUGAACGUCAGGAAAGCAGCCGGACCUGAUGGGAUUUGA
ensembl:lncRNA